GCGCGUCCUAACUUCGCGCAUCAUUAAAAUAAUUAAUUGGUUUAAAUUUUUAAGAGGAUUACAAAAUAUUAUUGUUGCUAAAUGUUUUUCACGGAAGAAUUUGAAAAACAAACUUGGUUUAGUACACCAUAUAAAAUCACGGAGAUAAAUCCACUUAGUUUGAAACAACCAAAAUGUUGGUUGUUUUUCAACCUUAAAUUUUGGUUAUUUUUAAACUUGAAAUAUCAAUUUCAACUAAAUUUUUUUGUUUAUAACAAACCACAUAACCAAGUAGUUUCUAAUUAAAAAAGAUUCUCAAUUAAAACUUUAAAAUAGUUACUUCAACCUAAAAUUCAAAAUAAUAACAACUUAAAUUUAGUUUGUUAUUAUCCAAUAUUAGGUUGUUUCUUAUAGCUUUGUAUUUUCGGAUCCUUAAUUUUUUAAUAUUAUUUGCAUGCAGCUGAGUGAAAAUCAAUCACCAUUUUUAAUACUGUUCUCCCAACUGAUUUUACUAGUUUUGGUCUAAACGUGGGAAAAUUGUUUGGAUGGUACGUCGUCAAUUUAAAUAUUGGAAGAAUAUAAAUGAUUCCGGAAAAAUGUACCUGCGAAAUCGAAGAGCGAUUAUUGCUUCGCCCGCUGUAACCGAUCCGACUAUCGACAUGGGCAGAAUGCCGAUUUCAUUUUCCUGCUGAAAACCCACAUUACCACCAACUUCUAUCAGCAAAAGGACACAUUGAGCAAA